rnacentral:rRNA from 1 species
GACGAACGCUGGCGGCGUGCUUAACACAUGCAAGUCGAGCGGUAAGGCCCCUUCGGGGGUACACGAGCGGCGAACGGGUGAGUAACACGUGGGUGACCUGCCCUCAGCUCUGGGAUAAGCCUGGGAAACUGGGUCUAAUACCGGAUAUGACUCCAUGACGCAUGUCGUGGGGUGGAAGGCCUUGUGCGGCUGGGGAUGGGCCCGCGGCCUAUCAGCUUGUUGGUGGGGUGANGGCCUACCAAGGCGACGACGGGUAGCCGGCCUGAGAGGGCGACCGGCCACACCGGGACUGAGACACGGCCCAGACUCCUACGGGAGGCAGCAGGUGGGGAAUCUUGCGCAAUGGGCGAAAGCCUGACGCAGCGACGCCGCGUGAGGGAUGACCGG